ensembl:piRNA 21ur-11473 ncRNA
UUAUUUGGAUUCCAUUCUGAA